CCGAGUUUACAGCUCCCAAACCCCUGUGAACAUACCACUUGUUGCCUCGGCGGAUCAGCCCGCUCCCGGUAAAACGGGACGGCCCGCCAGAGGACCCCUAAACUCUGUUUCUAUAUGUAACUUCUGAGUAAAACCAUAAAUAAAUCA
rnacentral:misc_RNA from 1 species